GACGAACCGUGCGAACGUUGUUCGGAAUCACUGGGCUUAAAGGGCGCGUAGGCGGGCUGUCAAGUCUGGGGUGAAAUGCUGCGGCUCAACCGUAGAACUGCCUUAGAUACUGACGGCCUCGAGGAAGGUAGGGGCAUGCGGAACUGUAGGUGGAGCGGUGAAAUGCGUUGAUAUCUACAGGAACUCCGGUGGCGAAAGCGGCGUGCUGGACCUUUUCUGACGCUGAGGCGCGAAAAGCCGUAGGG
rnacentral:rRNA from 1 species